CUCUCGGGGACGGUGCCCGAGGAAGUUCCCCUGGCGCCGCAGGGCUAAGCACGCGCUACUUGGGAGUAAGACCAGUUUAAAAGGAGUGGGAAAGGUUUCCCGGUAAAGCGCCUUAAAAUGCCAUCGGGAUCCUGGCUUCCGUGAAUUGAACUGAGGCACAGACACCCCAGGAUACAGUUUUCUCUCUCCUGCUCCUCCCCAUUUCUCGGUUCCUCCCUCCAAACCUGCUUCCCCCUUUCCCGACGGCCUUUUCAUAGACUCGCCACCGUUUAAAACCCAUAUUCCUUCAAGUUCUGGGUGCCUCUCAUCCUCUUUUUCCGCCUUCCCUAACCUAUGCAGCCUUCUGUUGCAAUCCCCGCAGUACUUCUCCUCUUUCCCCCCCCCCCGCACCACUAUCACCCCAGCUUCAACCUUUCGGCUUUAUUACGCGCGGCGCCCCUUGAAAACCCCCUCCCUGGUCCUUUCAUUCGCCCGUGGCUGUUGCAGGGAGGAUAUUUACACGCCGAAGGACACACAGGGCUCUCACAACAGCCAGCUUGUUUGCACUCUUUUGUGUGACUGGCAAUGUGCGGGCUUCGUUUCUCCACCCUCGAAAUGGUUCACUCCCCUUUCCAUUGAAGCAUGCGGUUUUCAGCAACAAUAGGUGCGAACUUGCUUUGAGGCCGGAGGGCUAAAGGUUAGUGCCCAGCUACCUCCUGCAGGUAUCUUAGCAGGAGUUCAUAGCUCCUCCUCCGCCUUCAAACCGCAGAUGGAGGUGGGGCUGCAUUUUUAUUGGUGCCUGAACGCCCCGCCUGCAGAAUCUCUUCCAGCCCCAACAGGUAACCAGGUAGACAAGAUGAACAGAGAAGAUGUGACUCUGAAAUUCAAAAACUCAAUAUAUUUAGAAUACACAAAGUAACAUAUUUAAAAGCCCUGCUCCUGCUAGAAAUGCCCUCUGAAUGUUUCUGCUGAUACUACACAAAGAGAACCUUGGAUCAGGACUGCAGGUGAAUGAAACAGAGGACAACCUAGCUGAAUGAAAUGGUUUCAUAUCAGCCUAACAAUUUCAUGGUGAUCAUGCAUUCUUUCCAAAAACAAAAAUAUCUAUGGGAGAAAUCUGGAUGGCUGAAACAAACAAGUCUUCCUGCACUAGAGGGCUAAAGAUAUCAGCAGCAGCCUGAUCCA